CUCCUCUUCCUCCUCCUCCUCCUCCGUCUCCUCCUCCUCCCUCAAGCACACCCCGUCUCCCAGGCCACAGCAUAGCAACCGAACAUGGCGGCUGCGCAGACGCCGCCACUCAGCGGCCAGGAGCGGCGGCGGCCGCAACUGGAGGCGAUCUCGCGAGAGGGGAGGCCAAAAACCCUCCCAGCUAGAGCCGACAGGAGAGGUUGCACCCGCGCGCGAGCGGGGGGACACGCAGGUGCGAAGGAGGCCGGACCUGGCAGAAGAACCAUGUUGACGAUCCCUGGGAUCAAGAACUAUAUAGAAAAAUGUAAAACUUUAAAAAAUCCAAGACUUCCUCCUGCUUUCACACUCUCUAAAGGUGUGUGGCAAAAAAGUUUGAGUGCCUCUGGUCUGCGGGAGAAUUAAGAAGUAAAUAAAACAGUACAAAGUCAUAGAAGUGCUUUCAUAGAUUAAACUCCAUGAGGGCAGGAACCAUGGCUCACCAUUAUUUCCUCACAGACUGGUCUGGUUUGGUAAUGUCUGGUCUAUAAUCAGCCCUCAGUUGUUAUUCUCCAAUAAAGGAAGGGAUGAGAUGGGCCCAGGAGGCUAGGGAAAUCAGUGAAAGGAGACCAGAUGACUAGACACAUUGUGCCUUAGGUUUUGCCUGGCUUCCACUGGGAGCAUGGACUGCAGGGACAAGAUUUGGAGAUGAAAUGAUCUGGUGGAGAAUUGAAGGCUGGGCAGAGCCUCGAGAGGGAAGUCUGAGGGACCUUGAGUGACAUCUAGUGGCUUCUGUGACCAAAUGGGAGGAACCAGCCUGAGGAAUCUCCCAUCAGGAGGAAUAUUAUUGUAUGUGCUGUAUGUUUAAGGAAGAAGAAGAAGAAGAAGAAAAGAAAAAGGAAAAGAUGGGCUCAUCCCCAUAAUGUAUAAAUGUUCCUUUAUUUGUAGAUGAAUACUGCGGUUUUAAUGGUCUAUACUCUUUUUUUAUGUGUUGGCUUUAUCCAUAGGAGCUUUAACAACAGAUUAGAAAAUCUUGAUUGAUCUUAAUGCCUUUGUAGCAUGCACCUGGCACAGCAUUUUUAGAUGUGCUGUUGACUGGCUGACAUGUCUUGGUCAUCCAUUCAACCUGUGGUCAUUGAUUGCUUACCACCCACAUUAAGGAUUCUCCUCCCUGGCCUCACAUUAGAAGCACUAAGGAAGUUUUUAAUAAAUACAGAGGAGUUGGGGCACCUGAGGCUCCACCGUUUAAGCGUCUGACUUCGGCUCAGGUCAUGAUCUCACGGUUUGUGGGUUCAAGCCCUGCAUUGGGCUCUGUGCUGACAGCUGGGAGCCUGGAGCUUGCUUUAGAUUCUGUGUCUCCCUCACUCUCUGCCCCUCCCCCGCUUGCACUCUAUCUCUCAAAAAUAAGUAAACGUUAAGAGAAAUUAAAAAAAAAAAGUACAGAAGACUUUGCCCCACUCUGAUCCCACUCUAUUCUCACUUAAUUGGUCAGAGUGGAGCCCAGGGUCCUCUUACAGAUGUGGAUAUAGAUAAAGAUUUUUUUCAGCUGCCAAGGUGAUUCUACUGUGCAGUAGGGUUGAGACCCACAGCUCCCAUUUGGACAGGCACCAAAGGUAAUACAGCAUCCAUGCAAAACAGGGAUCUCUGCCAUCUCCAUCCACACUUUUUUUUAAUGUUUGUUUAUUUAUUUUGAGAGACAGAGGGCACCAACAGGGGAGGGUCAGAGAGGGACAGAGAGAAUCCCAAGCAGGCUCCACAAUGUCAGCACAGCCCCACACGGGGCUCAAUCUCGGGAACCGUGAGAUCAUGACCUGUGCCUAAAUCAAGAGUCUGACACGCUUAACUGACAGAGCCACCCAGGUGCCCCCAUUAGCGCUUCUCAAACUGCCUAGGGUGAAGAACCAAUCUGUCAUGGCCGAAUAUUUUUGCAAAAUAUAAAUAAAAAUAAAUUACUAGAAAGUAAAUGGGAAAACGAACACAUAAUAAUAGAAUACAAAUGCCAAUUUUUUUGUUAGAUUCCAAUAGAAAUUAAUUUCUCUUAAAUUUCUCUAAAAGGUUCUACCUACUUAAUCGCAUUUUUGUAUUUAUCUUACUAUGAACUGGUGACAAACCGUCUUCAGGGUAGCACUUGACUCCUACCGUUCUAGGUUGUAUUCUAGAUGAGGGUGGAGGUAAGGACAAGACAGCAGACAUGCAAAACCUACGACGGUAGCAGGACACGCAGGUCAUACUUAUUGCUUUUGAGGAGGAGGCCCACUGACUCCUCAGAGUCCCCAAGGCAUCAGAGCCCUAUAGGGCCACCAGGCCUGAGGGCCUUAUGCUCAGCUUUGAAGAGCCAACUUUACCCUUAUCAGAACACCCACAUGAUGGGGCACUUAGCGCUGUCUGUAUGCUCAAAAUUUUUUAGAAACUGAUUAUAAAAGGGCGCCUGGGUGGCUCAGUCGGUUGAGCGUCCGACUUCGGCUCAGGUCAUGAUCUCACAGUUUGUGAGUUUGAGUCCCACCUCGGGCUCUGCACUGACAGCUCAGAGCCUGGAGCCUGCUUCGGAUUCUGUGUCUCCCUCUCUCUGCCCCUCUCAUGCUCAUGCUCUUUCUCUCUCUCUCAAUAAUAAAUAAACAUUAAAAAAAAUUAAAAAAAAAAAUAAGAAACUGAUUAUGAAGCAAAAGUUACUCUUUUUAAAGGAAAUACACCUUCCAGGGACCAGACACUGAUGUGUGCUCUAAGAAUACCGUCUUCCCAGUAUGAAGGUCCUCAAGCAUAAGAAAAUUAUUUGGGAAACGGAGAAUGAGGAUCUCUCCCUACAACAGAGCACUCCUCUCUGGUGACGCAAUAUUCAUGCCCACUCCAUGAUGCAUCUCUCCCUUGGACAAUGCUUAAUAAACACGGACAGACUCUUGACAGCCUCUCACACUGCUAGGAGGUGCCCUCCAUCCGUCACAACCUCCAGCAGGCAGGUUCAAUAGGCCGGAUUAAGUUCCUACUUUCUCUGGUUUUUACACCACUUCUGAGACACCUUGAUUGGACUUGCAUAAUCCCUGGUUUUCAUUGGUGAUAUAUUUAUUAACUAUCUCCAGCACGUUUUACCCACAGAUGACUCAUCUAUCAUAAGGCAAUUAUUCCUUCUCAUCUUAUUAUGUGCAGUGUUUCCCUUCUGUCUAUCAUGCUCUGCCUUUCCUUUCUUUGCCAAAAUCCUACUCACCUUUUAGAUUUCAGCUCUCAGGCUGACUCCUCUGAGAAGCCUUCCUUGAUCUUCCCCUCACCCAGGGCUCAACUCUUUGUGUCCCCAGGAAAGCACAUAGCCCAUGACGUUGCAAUGGGCCAGCUCCUCUCUUUUCCCCAGUUGAUUUUUAAGCUUCUUAGAACAUUGAUCUUGGCUUUCAUUUAUUUCUGGAUCCCCCAAAUCCACACACAGUAAAGACCCCUCCCCCAAAAAAUGGUUGGUGAAAUAAACUAAUUUUCUAGUUCCAUUCUCAGAGGAUGGUAUUAUGGCAAGGGGCAAUAGGAUAAAGAAUUAACUUCAAAUCUUAUUAAAGCCUUGGCAAUGGGGAGGUGUGGGGAAAUUGUUUCUUGAAAGUCAAGCUGGAGAGUAAGAACAUAGAGUGGCAGAUGAUAAAAGAGUGUAAGGAGUAUGAUGAUGUAAUCAGCAAUUUAGGAAAAAUUAAUUUCAUGCUUCUGAGGAAGGAGAGAUUAGGAUUGGGCAAAGACUGAAUCUGGAAGACCAAUUAAAACAGUGACAAUACUACCCCAUGAGUCAGUACUGACACUCACCCCUACCUUCCCCCCACCCAAUUCUGAUAAGUCACCCACAGCUUUCCCAGGCCCCAUCCUUGAUCAAUAAUCACAGCCAUGGAGAACUUUGGUGUUGAAGGGAGUCUAUCCUAUGCCUCAGAUGCAAGGGAAGAAAAUUCAGAAGUGUGUUGUAAUAGUCUGGAUGUCAAGUACUAGAAACUUUAUGUAUAAUCAUUAUAUAUUUAAUCAUUUUAAAUAAUGAUUCCACAAAUUUUUUUUCAUUUUUUUAAUGUUUAUUUUUGAGAGAGAGAGACAGAGACAGAGUGUGAGCAAGGGAGGAACAGAGAGAGGGAAACACAGAAUCCGAAGCAGGUUCCAGGCUCUGAGCUGUCAGCGCAGAGCCUGACUUGGGGCUCGAACUCACAAGCCGUGAGAUCAUGACCUGGGCUGAAGUCGGGCACUUAACCGACCAAGCCAGGCGCCCCUGAUUCCAGAAGUUUUUUUUAAGUGUAUUUAUUUAUUUUGAGAGAGAGAGAGAGGGAAAGAACGAGUCGGGGAGGGGCAGAGAGAGAGGGAGAGAAAGAAUCCCAGGCAGGCUCUGAGCUGUCAGUGGAGAGCCCUAUGUGGGGCUCAAUCUCACCCACUGUGAGAUCAUGACCUGAGCCAAGAUCAAAAGUUAGACACUUAACCAACUGAACCACCCAGGCACCCCGAUAAUGAUUCCAAUUUUUUAUCUUGGAUAUAAACUUUUGCUAGUGACAAAGCAAAACAUCUAAUGGAAGGUAACAAAUGGUUUUCUUAGCACUCAUUACUAGUCACCUAAGUUUGUAUGAAUUUCUAGUAAGGGCAGCAAGCCCCUGGAUUGGAUUUAUUAUGUACGGUGAUCUUUUAUGGAAUGUUUGAUAAAUAACACAGCAUGUUCUUAAUGGUCUGAUAAGUUUCAUUGGAAAAACCAUCUGUACUGUUCUUAUAGGAAUUUGGCAAGUUAUACUUUUUUUUUUCCUUCAAUCUCAACAUCCAGUAAUAUAUUAAACCCAAAAUUAGGUCAUGCUUCCUUCUCUUCAACUCUCUUUAGGCUGAACUCAGAAAUGAAGGCAACUACCCACUGUGAGUGAGACAAACAAUGUUUCUCUGACCAAAAUCAGUCAGUUACAAAAUCCUAGGGACGCCUGGGUGGCUCGGUCGGUUAAGUGUCCAACUUGGCUUAGGUCGUGACCUCGCAGUUCAUGAGUUCAAGCCCCGUGUCAGGCUCUAUGCCAACAGCUCAGAGCCUGGAGCCUGCUCUGGAUUCUGUGUCUCCCUCUAUCUCUUCCCUUCCCUCUCUCUCUCUCUCAAAAUUAAAAUAAAAUAUUUUUUAAAAAUUAAAAAAAAUUAAAGCCUAUAAUUACCAAUCCAGUGUACCAUUCUAGUUCUUAACUUCUUUAGAUUCUUCUAGUACCAGUAGCUGUUCUGAGGAUCAUCAAAAUCACACAAUCUAGAAUACUCUCCUUCCUAUGUGGGUAUCAGACUUAAGAGAGAGAGAGAGAGAGAGGACAGCAAGCUUUAAACUUGAGGCUUAAAUUUUUGUGCAUCACCUCUUUUUUUUAAUGGCAGUCUAACUAAUGGACCAGUCCAAGCAGGUCUGUGUAUCUUCCUUAAAUACAGAUGUAGGUGUCCCCUGGUGUGUAAAAGAGACACUCUAGUAAGAAGAAAACCACAUGUAAGGGGAAUUGGCAAUUAGAGACAUUUGAAAGUUGUGAUGAGCCAUAAAGAUUAAUCUAAUAGGAGUCUAUAGUCUGUUAAAAUCAAAUUUAAAAUUAAAUGAAGGAAUUUGGAAAUGGGCAAAAGUAAUACAGACCAUUUGACAAAUCAGUCUCAGAGGGUAUCAUCUGCCUUGAGUGGGCCUCUGGAAAGACAUCAGUAGUAUCAGCCUGCGUCUGAUGCAGGAAGUAGGGUGUGAAGAAAAGUUUGUGAGUAUUUUCUAUUUGCAAUGAUUCAUUUUUGGAGAACCGAGGAAAAGUCAUUCUAAAAGCCACAUUGGGAGUUGGGGGUUGGGGAGAACACAGGUCGGGGAGGAAGAACAAGUGUACCCACAGCCUAGAAAUAACUCACAGAGUCAAGAGUUUCCAAGUUUCUAACAGAGAAUGUUAAAAAUCACAGCUGUUGUACCUACUUGAGGAAGUUCACACACAUCCUUGGAUAAAUGCACCCUUAUAUUAAGGAUGCUGGGUUGAGUUUCAAGAGUCCCUUACCCCCAUCCCAAGACUUAAAAAAACCGGGCUUCAUGCCCAACAAGAGGGGAUAGGUUACAGUUCAUCCAUGCACCCAUAGAAUAUUAUCCAAGCAUUAAAAAUUGUGCUUAUAAACAAAAUGUGUUUAUAAAUAAGUUUUACUGACAUGGAAAAAUGCUUCUUAUGUAAUAUUAAUUGAAAAAAACAGGAUUGCAGGAGGGCCUGGGUGGCUCAGUCAGUUGAGCGUCCAACUUUGGCUCAAGUUGUGAUCUCCCAGGUCAUAAGUUCGAGCCCCACAUAGGGCUUACUGCUGGCAGCGUGGAGCCUGCUUCGGAUUAUCUGUCUCCCUCUCUCUCUCUGCCCCUCCCUUGCUCAUGCUCUCUCUC